AUAGCUCAACUAUUAGGCAUCGGGGAWACUGCCAGGCUUGAAACGGGAGAGGUAAGAGGUACUACAGGGUAGGAGUGAAAAUCUUGUAAUCCCUGUGGGACCACCUGUGGCGAAGGCGUCUUACCAGAACGGGUUCGACGGUGAGGGACGAAAGCUGGGGGCACGAACCGGAUUAGAUACCCGGGUAGUCCCAGCCGUAAACGAUGCUCGCUAGGUGUCAGGCAUGGCGCGACCGUGUCUGGUGCCGCAGGGAAGCCGUGAAGCGAGCCACCUGGGAAGUACGGCCGCAAGGCUGAAACUUAAAGGAAUUGGCGGGGGAGCAC
rnacentral:rRNA from 1 species